rnacentral:rRNA from 1 species
CCUACGGGUGGCAGCAGUGGGGAAUAUUGCGCAAUGGGCGAAAGCCUGACGCAGCGACGCCGCGUGAGGGAUGAAGGUCUUCGGAUCGUAAACCUCUGUCAGCAGGGAAGAACGGUCACUGUGCUAAUCAGCAGUGAAUUGACGGUACCUGCAAAGGAAGCACCGGAUAACUCCGUGCCAGCAGCCGCGGCAAAACGGCGGGUGCGAGCGUUAAUCGGAAUUACUGGGCGUAAAGCGCGCGUAGGCGGUAGGCCAAGUCAAGGGUGAACUCCCCGCGCUCAACGUGGGAACUGCCUUUGAAACUGGCAAACUGGAGUGUGUGAGAGGAUAGUGGAAUUCCUGGUGUAGGGGUGAAAUGCGUAGAUAUUUGGAGGAACAUCAGUGGCGAAGGCGACUAUCUGGCACAUAACUGACGCUGAGGAGCGAAAGCGUGGGGAGCAAACAGGAGUAGAUACCCCAGUAGUC